UCUUGUUUUUUUUUUAAUUUUAUAUAAAAAUUAAUAGUCACGAUGAUUUUUAAAAUUUUAUUCAUAUUUCAUUAUAAGAUAUAAGUACACUUAAUAAAAAAAUAAACAGGAAAUAGUACAUUGUUUUAGAAAACAUUUAAUAGUGCUUAAAAUUUUAAAUUUUAAACAUCCCACAAAAAGUGAAAAAAAAAAGAAAAAAUCUUUCAAAAAUGAUAAUUAAAAAUGAUGUGGUGUAUUAAUUUGUUGAAUGUGUCAAGAGUGAGCAUUCAUUGCAUGCUUCAACAUAAUGUUUUCCCUAAAAACUGGAGUGAUGCAUCUUUCAAAUUUUGAUUGUACUCACCAAUAUCCAUUAACUUUUAUGGAAAACGGGAAAUAGAG
rnacentral:lncRNA from 1 species